CCUCCUCUCAAUAAGAAGCAUUCACGCCGGUGUUUUCCUUUUAACGUCCCUCAUCCUGAUCCACGUGUCCGUUUCAUCCUGGGAAAUCUGACUGAGCUCUGUGUGGUCGGUCUCCCAGCGCCGCCCUGCCUUUCACUCACCGCACAACACAAACACAAACACAGCCUCCGUCCUGGCAUGCAACACCUGCAGCACGGGGACAAUUAAAAAGUCUUGCUCAAGAGGGAUCUGGAGCCUGUGGGAGGCAGAACAGGUUCAUCUCAAACCUGCUUUUAAUGCUAAACCGUGAUGACAAAGCUUCCCUUUUCCGGCGUCGCCUGGAAAACUCUCAGCGCGUCUUCUUGCUUCAGCUGGUGCACGACAAAGAAAGCAAACACACAGACGGUGUUUGCUCACACGUGAGUUGUGUUCACGUGUGACAACAUUUGCCUGUGGAAAUAAAGCGCAACAUAUCACACAUAAAAGCCGGGCCACGCCCACUGGGUGAUACUUUGAUGUCUCUGGGCCCUCACCUUCAAAUAGCACUCGCUCAAGUGGACACACCAAAGUGGAACAUCCAGGGCCGUGCACCAAACUCUUUUGAUUCCACAUGUGAUGCAACAUAGGAGAUAAGAAAAGAAAGCUCACGUCUAUGUCCUGAUGUCUUCGUGUGUUGUUUGUUGCUGUUUUUACAGAAUAAUGUCACAAUUAAAAUAAGUCUAAAAUGG